UUAGGAAUCUUCCACAAUGGGCGAAAGCCUGAUGGAGCGACGCCGCGUGAGGGAUGGAGGCCUUAGGGUUGUAAACCUCUAAAAGAGGGACGAUAAUGACGGUACCUCUUGAAUAGCACCGGCUAACUCCGUGCCAGCAGCCGCGGUAAUACGGAGGGUGCAAGCGUUAUCCGGAAUCACUGGGCGUAAAGGGCGCGUAGGCGGUCUGUUAAGUCCGAUGUUAAAUCCCGGGGCUCAACCCCGGAUAAGCGUUGGAUACUGGCAGGCUAGACGGUUGGAGAGGCGAGUGGAAUUACCAGUGUAGCGGUGGAAUGCGUAGAUACUGGUAGGAACACCCAUUGCGAAGGCAGCUCGCUGGACAACACGUGACGCUGAGGCGCGAAAGUGUGGGGAGCAA
rnacentral:rRNA from 1 species